UGGAAGGACCAGUUCAAGCCUACCUCCUCCA
rnacentral:piRNA from 1 species